rnacentral:rRNA from 1 species
GAUGAACGCGGCGGCGUGCCUAACACAUGCAAGUCGAGCGCGUCUGAUUUGAUGCUUGCAUUGAUGAAAGAUGAGCGGCGGACGGGUGAGUAACGCGUGGGUAACCUGCCCUAUACACAUGGAUAACAUACUGAAAAGUUUACUAAUACAUGAUAAUAUAUAUUCACGGCAUCGUAGAUAUAUCAAAGUGUUAGCGGUAUAGGAUGGACCCGCGUCUGAUUAGCUAGUUGGUGAGAUAACUGCCCACCAAGGCGACGAUCAGUAGCCGACCUGAGAGGGUGAUCGGCCACAUUGGAACUGAGACACGGUCCAAACUCCUACGGGAGGCAGCAGUGGGGAAUAUUGCACAAUGGGCGCAAGCCUGAUGCAGCAACGCCGCGUGAACGAUGAAGGUCUUCGGAUCGUAAAGUUCUGUUGCAGGGGAAGAUAAUGACGGUACCCUGUGAGGAAGCCCCGGCUAACUACGUGCCAGCAGCCGCGGUAAUACGUAGGGGGCUAGCGUUAUCCGGAUUUACUGGGCGUAAAGGGUGCGUAGGUGGUCUUUCAAGUCGGUGGUUAAAGGCUACGGCUCAACCGUAGUUAGCCUCCGAAACUGGAAGACUUGAGUGCAGGAGAGGAAAGUGGAAUUCCCAGUGUAGCGGUGAAAUGCGUAGAUAUUGGGAGGAACACCAGUAGCGAAGGCGGCUUUCUGGACUGCAACUGACACUGAGGCACGAAAGCGUGGGUAGCAAACAGG